ensembl:lncRNA
UUUUUCUUUUUGUCAUAGCGAAUAGGAGUAGGAUUGCUGGAUUGUAUGGUGGUCCUAUUUUAUUAUUUUAGUUUGUUGUGGAAACUUUAUACUGUUUUUCAUAGUGGCUGCACCAAUUUACGUUCCCACCAGCAGUGUACAAGGGUUCCCCUUUCCACAUCCUCACCAACAUUUGUUAUUUGCAGACACAUUUUAUGUUUUUGAUGUCACAGUUUAUACUGGAUAUACAUAGAGAAGAGCCAGAGAAGGUGACAGAGAAUUGCAUGCAAAUGUAAGGGGGGGGGUAAGAUAAUGCCGUGAGGACCAAAAGUAAUAAAAGUUAUGAAAAAAAUAAUGAGGAGAUCCCCCUUGUCAAAUGCAAGAAAAGAAUGACAAUAUGACCAAAAUUUGUUGGCUGCUGUUGGUAACUGUUCUUUUAGGGGCUGGCAUGCAUUUAUCUUAGGCCUAGGUGAUUGAAUCAAUAAGGAAUCUUUGUUGCUUCCAGUGCAGUUACAAAAUUAACAUUCUGUUAUUUAAAAACAACAAACAUUCUUUGAUGUACACUUUACCUGGAAAGUCUCGGCAAGUCACAUUUUAUGGAUAUGAAAAUACAUCGAGCUGUUGCAGCAGCAACCUCAUCACUCAUUUUUAAUUAUGAGUAUGGAGAUGUUCUGUAGGUUUAUUGAUCUUCCGCGGCGUAGCAGCCAAUUCUGCACUGCAAUCACCAUCGUUUCCGUCAUACCUGUGGGUUUAUUUCUAGCAUUAUAAUUUUCUAGUCGUGACUGUGUGAUGAGGUGAGGCUUUUCAUUAAAGAGAAGUCAGCAGGUUAGGGAGAGGAGAUCCCGGUCGAUCUUGGCUCCCGAGGGUCAGGCAGAGAAGGAAGAAAGAACAGACGGGGCUGCAGCUGUGCUGUGUGGGAGACCAGCCACGCCGUUGGGCUCAGGUACUGCAGUUGUGCCUUGAGGUGAAGUGGCUCUGGAUUUGUGUAAAUGGAAAGAGACGUGCAUUUACAACCAUAUUAUAAGUGAGUGCUAUGAACUGAGGUUUAGGCGGCAUGAAGCUAUGAUGCAGGAACUUAACACUGGGGGCAAGAGGCGUCCUUCUCUGCUGCUCUCCCUGGAGAGACUGCGCCCAGAUGAGCCCUGGAAACUCAAGUCAUUAAAGUCCUUUUCUUAAGUGGACAGGAGUUUUACUAGGUGGAUGCAGUGUCUGCCUAGUUAAAUUCCUGGGACUGCAUGCUUGUCCAGGAAAUGGGAUCAUGUGGCAGCAUAAGCAGGAUGGUUUUGAGAAAGGUGGAGUUUCUGUGUUUAAAUCACAACUCUCUAGAAAGAGAAGGCACCUGAGCUGCUGGGUGGCUGGGUUUCAACAGGGACAACGUGUUGAAAGGGGGCUCCUUGGCUACUGCAAAAGGUUUUGCUGUUUGUGUCCUUCCAAGGAUAGUAACCACGACUUAGCCCCUGAGGAGCAGGUAGGCUUGGUAGGCAGAAUCCAAAAUCUCUGUGGUCUCUACCCUAGGGUGUUGCAUCUGUAAUAUGUCAUGUUGCUUAACAAAAGGGACCUUACUGAUUGUCUGACCUUGAAAUAGGGAGAAAAUCCUGCAUUAUCCAGAUGGGAUCAAUGCAAUCCUAAGAGCACCUAAAAACAGAAAAGGAAGCCAGAAGAGCAGUCAGAGAAAUUCAGAGCAUGAGAAGGAUUUGAGGCCCUGUUGCUGGCUUUCAGAUGGAGAGGCCCGGGGACCUCAGUUCUUUAACUAUAUGGAACUGAAUUCUGCCAACAAUCUAAAUGGUUUGGGAGUAGAUUCUUCCCCAGGGCAUGCAGAAAGGAAUGCAGUUCUGCCCACACCUUAGUCUCGUGAGGCUCUUAACUGAGAGUUCAGCCACACCACGCUGGCCCUCUGACCUACAGAUAGUGACAUAACAAAUGAGGUUAUUUCAAGCUGCAAAAUUCAUGGUAGUUUGUUACUCAACAUUAGAAAGCUAAGAUAUUGGGCAUUGUAAGGGCUUUGGAGUUACCUUAAGGGAGUAAGCUGAGGAGGAAAUAAACGCUUUAUCACAGUUGGGAAGGUGCGAUGGACCCAAGGCUUAAAAUUUAUUUUGAAUAUUAAAAGGAAUGUGACCUCAUUUUGUACGCAAGAUUGGUGCAACAGGAAUAGGUGUUACCACCAGAAUGUGAUCACGGAGAACCGAGAAAAUAAAUAGCAAGUGAAUAACACAUAACAAAAAUAACACUGAAACAACCCAAGAAAGCCAUGAAGAAAGAAUGAGAACCCAUGAAGAAAAAAACCGAUGAACCAAAGAAGACAGCAAUGAGAACCCAUGUAGUAGAAAAACAACCUUAGGUGGAAAGAAAAGCCAAAUACUCCUAACGCUGGACUUAUCACUGGCUAGGUCGACGUCUCUGUACACGCUAUGGAGAGCUAUGUCUACGAAACGUCUGCUGAGCUGUACCGAGAUAAACCACGACAAGACGCGCUGGUUCCUCCUGGUUCCUCCGGGACAGAAUGAAAAUGGAAGCAGCUGUUUGCUGGGCCUCGGAGGGGAUGGGUGGGGGGGAGGGUGCACGGAAGAACCAAAGCUGCUCAGGCAUCAGCCCCCUCCUCACCUGACAGGCUCUGCGGAAGGGCUUCUUAACUCCACUAAUAAAAUGUACCAGGUCUUAUGGUUACCAGUGAGUCCAUGUCCUAUGUCUGUUCCCCAAACUUCUACCCAGAACUCUUUCCACUUCACUACCAGGCGCCUCGCUCUCCUUCUUGCACAUGAUUUUCCUUCGCCUUCCUUUGCUACUAUUUUUAAAACAGUGCAACACCAGAAACAAAGUCCUAUCAUGCUUAUGAGUCAUGAUUUGAUGACUAUGAGUCAUUGGUGAGUGAUGCCACUACCCACCCAGUCACCUGCUCUAGACAUGUGGAUUACCUCAGGCUCCUCUGGCUUCCCGCAUCCUGUCUCUCAUCAAAUCAUGCAGAUUCAAUCUCCUCGACCCCUCGAGUCCACCUACCGCUCUCCAAAAGCUGCAUCCUACAUCGAUUCGUAUCAUAACCUGGCAUCCCUUCUCCUCCGUCAUCCUCGCAAAUCACAGAUGCCUUUAAAAAUAUAACAUCAGAUGCUGUCUUCUUGCUUAAACUACUUUCCUACCUCCUACGGUUUUCUAAACACACUCUGUAGCUUAGCACACAAACUCUCCAAAACCUGGAAGCUGUCAGAGGGGCCACCCCACACUCCCAAUCCCAUGUUUCUCUUAAGCUUUUUCUACUACAUGCACUUCUUUCAACAUACCAGUCCAGGCUCACCAUGCUCAUGCUGUUUUCUUUGCCUGGACUGCCCUCCCCCCAUUUCUUUUUCCCACCUGGUUAAGUUCUAAUUGUUUUCCAAAUAUGAUGUUGCACAGUACCUACCAAGGGGGCCUACAACCAUCACCUACCCCAAUUUAUACUCCAGUCUCUGGGAUGAAUAGCUAGUCCGCUCCACAGUUCUGUCCUGCUACAACUGGUUUAUAUUCUGUCUUCUCAACUAGUCGGUGAGCCUAUAAGGGUAGGAACCUGCCUUCAGGUGACUAUUCCUAGAGCUUCUUGCAGCAUCUGGCACUUGGUUAGUUCCCACAAAUGUUCAUGUUAUCUCUCUGCUGUUAAGAGACUUCCAUGAGGGAGGCGCCUCCACUUUCCCCUUCAGCAUCAGCUUCUGUUUCGCUCUGGGGUCUACCAUCGCCUUCUUUCUCCUUUGGUUUUCAUCUGUCCUGCUAAAAGCCUUGGGUCAGGACAUUAUGAGCUACUCACACCUUAGCAUAAAAUGAUCUGCAUCUUCUUUCAUUUGCCAGUGUCACGCACCUCUAAAUGUGGGGAUGUAUGCUCUGUUCCUUUUUUUUUUUUUAAUGUCUGCACUCAGGCAUAUGGACGUUCCUAGGCCAGGGACUGAAUCCAAGCUGUGCAAUUCUGGAUCCUUUAACCCACUGUGUCAGGCCAGGGAUGGAAGCCACACUUCCGCAGUGAUGCCAGCUGUUGCAGUCAGAUUCUUAAGCCAUGGACCACAGUAGGAACUCAACUCUAUUACUUUUAAGAGAACACAUUUUUGAGUGUGAGGUGAGGCAGUUUCCUGAUUCUCCUUCAACCACAUCACAUACUCAGCAACCUCUUUUGUUUGUACAAAGCAUAAUUCUCCUGCCAGGAUGACCGAAGUAUCAGGCACCCCAUUGGAAACUGAAUGGCAAAGGUCGUUAUAGUCGGGCAAAAUGCACUGCAUUUAACACCCAUUGUUUCGCCAUUAACAAGCUGGUAAGAUAUGUCUUUGAUGAUUAUUUUGAAUGUGAUAACAAUGGCAAAUCAUUAAAAGGUGAAUUAGCAAUAUUUUGCUCAGUAAAGAUAGAGAAAGAAGAU